GACGAACGCUGGCGGCGUGCUUAACACAUGCAAGUCGAGCGGAGCGGCGGACGGGUGAGUAACGCGUGAGUAACUAACCCCAUCUCUGGGGUAACAGAUCGAAACGGCUGCUAAUACCGGAUAGUGGGGGAUGACUCGCGUCAUGUCAGCUUGUGGGUGGGGUAGUGGCCUACCAAGGCGACGACGGGUAGCCGGCCUGAGAGGGAGACCGGCCACAUUGUGCUGAGAUACGGCCCAAACGCCUACGGGAGGCAGCAGUGGGGAAUAUUGCACAAUGUGGGAAACCCUGAUGCAGCACCGCCGCGUGUGGGAUGACGGUCUUCGGGUUGUAAACCGCUUUCAGCCAUGACGCGGUAGUGGCAGAAGAAGCACCGGCUAACUACGUGCCAGCAGCCGCGGUAAUAC
rnacentral:rRNA from 1 species